rnacentral:rRNA from 1 species
GAUGAACGCUGGCGGCGUGCUUAACACAUGCAAGUCGAGCGAUGAAGUUUCCUUCGGGAAACGGAUUAGCGGCGGACGGGUGAGUAACACGUGGGUAACCUGCCUCAUAGAGUGGAAUAGCCUUCCGAAAGGAAGAUUAAUACCGCAUAACGUUGAAAGAUGGCAUCAUCAUUCAACCAAAGGAGCAAUCCGCUAUGAGAUGGACCCGCGGCGCAUUAGCUAGUUGGUGGGGUAACGGCCUACCAAGGCGACGAUGCGUAGCCGACCUGAGAGGGUGAUCGGCCAAAUUGGGACUGAGACACGGCCCAGACGCCUACGGGAGGCAGCAGUGGGGAAUAUUGGACAAUGGGGGAAACCCUGAUGCAGCAACGCCGCGUGAGUGAUGAAGGUUUUCGGAUCGUAAAGCUCUGUCUUUGGGGAAGAUAAUGACGGUACUCAAGGAGGAAGCCACGGCUAACUACGUGCCAGCAGCCGCCGUAA